UCUUAGUGAACUAUCGCAUCCUUGCGUGCGCAGUUUCGGCAAGCGCUAUCGAUGGAUUCAAGUCAGUUGCGGGCCGGUCGCUGGAGUAUCUAGACGAGUUUCCCGCGACGCGUAUCGUUUGAUCGGACUUCUAUUUUCUAAAUUUGCAUUUCGAAUAUGUUCGGUCAUCAAUCGACUUAGUUGUAACAUGCAUCUGCAGUGUUAUGUUAGUGAUUAAUGGUGCGUUUAUGUUCAUAAAAGUUUUUUUUUGCUCGGUUUUGAUGUUCAUUUUUCAAAUUACAAGAUUGCUGCGGUUUUAUUGUCGGUUACUGUGUGACUUUGUCGGUCAAUCGGAUACAUAUUCCUGCCAUGUUUUUUCCGUCAUUAGGAGAUCCUUUCUUGCUUAAUACUUGCUGUGACUAGGAGUCCGAUGAGUUCUGCAUUGUAUUUGCCGUGCCUUAGAGUCCGAUGUGAUCUGCAUUGUACUUUCUAUGAUUACCUGAUGCACUGGUAAGUUUGUAAACGUUAUUACAUUAUACUUUCAUAUUUAUCUAAAAUUGCAUGUAACGUGAAUACCGUAACAACACAAAAUUGAUGCGUGCCGUCGGAUGCGACUUGGAUCUACCCGCAGAGUAUGGUCAUGUCAAUCAUCGGUUUAAUAACGUGAAAUUUUCCUUGCUUGCAUUUUUAUUUUUAUUUCAUAAAUCUGCCGGCUCUUUAACGUAUUUUCGUAGUUUGGCAAUUAAUUAUUGAGAGUAAUAAUAUAUUUCUAAAAUAUUUGUAAUAUAUUUGUAAAAUGUAGCAAUUUUCUUUCUUGUAUCACCCUAUGUUCUACUUUACCUUGCGUUCUAGUGUAAAACUGACCUAAUUUGUCGUUUCUGGGUCGUUUUCUACUUAAACUUUGUAUUUUAUUUUUAAAUUUAGGAAUUUCCUGUUUGUAUCACCCUGUAUGUUUGUUUUUCUUGAUUUCCUAUUAUAAGUUUUCUAAAUUUGUAUUCCCGACUAUUUUCUUUUUUGUACACUUGAUUUUCUUUUUGUGAUGUAGUAAUUUCCUAUUUGUAGCACCCUGUAUAUUUGUUUUUCUUGUUGUCCGUGAAAAUUUAACUUUAGUUGUUGUUUUAGGUUUUUCUUCUUUGCACUUUGAAUUUUCUAUUUGUAACACCCUGUAUAUUUGUUCCCAUUUUCACUCACGCAGAAAAUGGUCUAUUUCUUCAUUUCUUUAUCCCGGUAGUACUUUGCGAAGUGUAACUUGCUUGCUUGUGCACGGCUAUGCAGGUCGUAAGACCUGUUUCAAUAUGGCGACAUGUACGAGUAUUUUGUUGACUUGUAAAAUAUAAACUUGUAUUCUAUUGUUAAUAAAGAAAUAGUAAAAUAUA